rnacentral:misc_RNA from 1 species
UAUAUUUGGUAACUGGAAUUUUCUAAAUAUGUUGUCAUAGUCCUUCCAAAACACCAUAGUUUUCAAUAAUAAAAAGCAUUAAAAUACUUUUUAAGAAAUUAUUUCAAAAUCAUCAGAAUGUGCAUUAAAUGUCUAUUUAGCAAUAAAAAGCCAUGAAACGGCCUCAUACAUCAUAUGUGGAAUAGCAGUAACAGUGAAAUUCAAUAAAAUGCUAAUAAAAUAAAUAUACAAAUACAUCAUACCAUUGGACCAGGCAUUUGCAAUG